UGGGGAAUAUUGGACAAUGGGGGCAACCCUGAUCCAGCCAUGCCGCGUGAGUGAUGAAGGCCUUCGGGUUGUAAAGCUCUUUUGGCGGGGACGAUGAUGACGGUACCCGCAGAAUAAGCCCCGGCUAACUUCGUGCCAGCAGCCGCGGUAAGACGAAGGGGGCUAGCGUUGUUCGGAAUUACUGGGCGUAAAGCGCGUGUAGGCGGUUAUCCAAGUCAGGUGUGAAAGCCUUGAGCUCAACUCAAGAAAUGCACUUGGUACUGGGUGACUAGAGGACCGGAGAGGAUAGUGGAAUUCCCAGUGUAGUGGUGAAAUACGUAGAGAUUGGGAAGAACACCAGUGGCGAAGGCGGCUAUCUGGACGGUUACUGACGCUAAGACGCGAAAGCGUGGGGAGCAAACAGGAUUAGAUACCCCCGUAGUCC
rnacentral:rRNA from 1 species